AAUCUAUAUCAAUCCACACACCGUGAACUAUUCUGUUGGCCACCGGUUAACCGUCUAUUUAAACGGUUAACCGGUUGGGGGUGGUUUUACAACCAACCUCAGUCGUUGCUCCUGCGCAUGCGCAGGUGUGGCGUCGGUCUCUUUUAACCAACCAAAACUCCAAACCAUAACCAAAUUAAAAACGAGGGUUCAGCUUAGAGCUUUGACCCUCACCAACCAAGACAACUCUCAACAACGGAUAUCUUGGCUCUCAGAUCGAUGAAGAACGCAGCGAAAUGCGAUACGUAGUGUGAAUUGCAGAAAUACGUGAAUCAUCGAAUUUUUGAACGCAAAUUGCGCUCGAGGCUUCGGCCAAGAGCAUGUCUGCCUCAGCGUCGGGUUAAUACUCACUCUGCCCGUACACACACAUGUGUGUGUACGGCCAAGCAAGUGGAUCUGGCUGUCUCGGGUUUAAUUUAAUUUAAAACCGGGUCAGCUGAAGUGCAGAUGUCAAACCAUGGACCGUUAAAAACGGGCCUCUACUGGGUAAGCACAAUUCUGUUGCUGCAAUGCUUUAGUAGAUGGCUUGGGUGCUGUGUUUGGCACAAAGCAGGAAUAUUUGCAUAUGCAAGUAUAAACCCCUUCAUAUUUUCUCGACCUGAGCUCAGGCAAGA
rnacentral:sRNA from 2 species